rnacentral:piRNA from 1 species
UGGCCUGCCUCUGCUGCGAUGGCUCAAGC